rnacentral:tRNA from 1 species
UUGGCGGUAGUUCAGUUUGGCAGAACGCUCGGUUGUGGCCCGGGUCGUCGUGAGUUCAAAUCUCGCCCGCCAAC